UACGUAGGGUGCGAGCGUUAAUCGGAAUUACUGGGCGUAAAGCGCGUGUAGGCUGCGAUGUAAGUCAGGGGUGAAAUCCCGAGGCUCAACCUCGGAACUGCCUUUGAUACUGGAGAUCUUGAGUUCGGGAGAGGUGAGUGGAACUGCGAGUGUAGAGGUGAAAUUCGUAGAUAUUCGGAAGAACACCAGUGGCGAAGGCGACUUACUGGACACAUAUUGACGCUGAGGUGCGAAAGCGUGGGGAGCAAACAGG
rnacentral:rRNA from 1 species